UACGGAGGGUGCAAGCGUUGUCCGGAAUCACUGGGCGUAAAGGGCGCGUAGGCGGCGCAUCAAGUCAGGCGUGAAAGCCCUCGGCUCAACCAAGGAAGUGCUUUCGAAACUGCUGAGCUUGAGUACUUAAGAGGAUCGCGGAAUUCCCGGUGUAGAGGUGAAAUUCGUAGAUAUCGGGAGGAACACCAGUGGCGAAGGCGGCGAUCUGGGAAGAUACUGACGCUGAGGUGCGAAAGCGUGGGGAGCAAACAGG
rnacentral:rRNA from 1 species